rnacentral:misc_RNA from 1 species
CGGCUGGGUUCAUGUACCAGGCUUGUUCUGGGAUCUGCCUCGGUAUCUUAUUAGUUUUCACUGGAUCUUCAAUUGCUGGCUUCUUGAAACCAAUAUAACUACCAACAAAGACGAGCGGAACUGAGAUACCAAACCACAAAAAUACCAGUGCAAACAUGGUUCCGAAUGGCACUGCCCCAGAGGAUUUCUCACCCCAUAUUAAAGCGUUCAAUACAAAGAAAAUGGCAAAGACUACUGCAGGAAACAUGAAUGCGGUUUUGAGGGUGAUUUUCUUCCAUUCUGUUCCCUUGAACAACUUAUAGAGACGAGCUGAAGAGUAUCCAGCAAACAGGCCCAUAAAUACCCAGAGUAGGAGCAUGGCUGUCAUCAACCCACCUCGGUUUGAAGGGGAAAGGAAACCCAGGGCAGCAAAGAUCAUGGUAACAAGAAUCAUCCCAAGAAACUGAACCCCUGUCCCAACAUAGACACAGAGUAAAUCUGAAUUUGAUGGAGGCCUGAAAACAUCCCCAUGGACCAAUUUCCACCCAGUCUCUUCUUGGGCUUCUUCUUGCGUCUCUAAUUGGUUGUACUUGGAGAUAUCCCGGUAAAGUGUCCGCAACAUGAUCAUAGCCACCAUUCCCGAAAGGAAAAGAACAAUCAUCAAUG